AGAUGCAGCAGCGGCGGCAGCAGCCCUCCCAGGUCCCACUUCUUUGGCGUUCCUGCUGCCUGUGACUCAAGACAAUUGACUUCCACCUGAACCCUCAGCUCCGAACGCCUUGCAUUAGAAGCUAGAGCUUUGGAGGUUCUGAGGACGGUCCCUGGGGAGCAAGUGGUAGGUUUCGAGGCGCCCGCUUCCCCUCUGAUUCCUGCAGUAACUGAGAGAGAGUGUGCCAGAAAUGGCUUUGCUGCCGAAUGCAUUAUCUUGCCAUUUUCGUGUCCCAAUACUGAACAAACGAUCGCCUGAUCGAUCGAGACUGAGGCGCUGAAUGAUAGAGGGAAUAAACAUUUGCCCUGGAUAAAAAUGUUCUUGGCUGUUGUCCAGCUCUAAUGAUGUCCUAGAGCAGAAGUGUUUCUUCUGAUGUCUCAUUUUAACAAGAGGAUGAUGUCUGUGUAUGUCUCUGUGUUUUAGAGAGGCUGGCAAAUGCUGCUAAGAGGAUCUGAGGUUCACAUAAAGAGGAUGAAAAUUCUGAAUUACUUUCAUUGCAAAUAAACCUUAACAAUUGUGAGAGUUAGAGAGCAUACUUUUCACAUAAGACUUUGGUAUGCUGCCUAAAGCUACUUACAUAAUUUGCUAUUCAGAGAAAUGCAUUUGUUUAUUGAGGACCCACCCGGACUUAAAUUGGAAAAAUGUAACAUUCAGAUUUUUAUUUUAUAUGUGAAAUAAAUGUGUGAUUGCUGUUCUUAAAAAUUUGAAAAAAAAAGGAUAACAAGAAUAUUAAUUUUGUGACCCAUAGUUCAUGAACUUUAAAAGUGUUUACAGCAUUUAAAGUUUAUUUAACAAUUUAAGUAUUUGAGCACUAUACUAAUUCAUAUGGUUACAUUUGAUCAACUCCUUCAUGAAGCCAUAGGCUUUAUAUCUCCUAGCUGCCUUUUACCUUCAGAACAAAUCUGGUUUAUACUUAGAUUGCUCCAAAAGUUAUGCAUUUUAAUUUUAUGUUGAAAAUGUCUUUCUUAGAUAAUCACGGUGCAUAUUUGCAGCUAAUACUUUAGUAUAUUUUAUAUUAUUGGUAAUGCUUUUGUUAGCCAUCCUGGUGCUGCCUUCUUAUAAGAGCUAUGUAUGAGAACCAACUAAUAUAUUUCUUUUUUUUUUUUUUCUUUUUCUUACCUAUUAACCCACUAAAAUUUCUAAUCUAAAAGCAAUAUUCAAGUUACAUUUUAUUACAGAAAUUGGAAAGCAAUUUGCCUGGGAAGCAAAAUGUUGAUAUGAUUCAGGUGAUUUUAACAUUAAAUCUAACUUGUAACAAAAACGGAUUAUAUAAAGAUAAAUAAAUUGAGACUAUUAUUUGCAUAGCAAAGAAAGUCAAACAUGACCCACACAUUUAUGCACAUAUAAUUAAUUUCAAUAAAAUGUUUAUAUUUAUUCAUUUUCAUCUCUGCUA
rnacentral:lncRNA from 1 species